GCUCGGUACUCCUCGUUGGUAAGAUCAGCAAAGCGGUUCAAACCAACCUUAAAACUGUGACUCUCAUCGGCGUUAUGUUCAUCGAUGAACCUAAGGUUAUCCUUAAAAAUCUGGAGCCUCCUCUCUUUCUCACCCAAACCGUUGUAUGUUUUUCCAUGCUUUACAAGCCACUCCUCGUACAUGGCCAUAACUUCGUCGUCUGUUCUCCAACUAGACGUUGACUUGUCGGGAUGGGCUUCAUCGUAGGAUAUAAUGGACAUGUCGGAAGCUGAUGAUAAAGUGAACAUCAUCAGCAAAAGCAUAGCCAUAACCGAUCCCUGAGAACCCAUCUUGUCUGAGAAAAAGAAAAAGGAGAAAAGGAAUAGGAUUUUGAAUGUGUGGGGGAGAAGAAAGGCGAGAGACGGUAGGCUUAUAAAGAAAAAAAGAAGAUUAAUGGUAGUAACC
rnacentral:lncRNA from 1 species